rnacentral:rRNA from 1 species
AGAAGCAGCCACCAUUGAAAGAGUGCGUAAUAGCUCACUGGUCGAGUGACCCCGCGCCGAAAAUGUACCGGGGCUAAACAUAUUACCGAAACUGUGGAUGAACCUCUUUAGAGGUUCGUGGUAGGAGAGCGUUCUAAGGGCGGUGAAGUCAGACCGGAAGGACUGGUGGAGCGCUUAGAAGUGAGAAUGCCGGUAUGAGUAGCGAAAGAAGGGUGAGAAUCCCUUCCACCGAAUAUCUAAGGUUUCCUGAGGAAGGCUCGUCCGCUCAGGGUUAGUCGGGACCUAAGCCGAGGCCGAUAGGCGUAGGCGAUGGACAACAGGUAGAGAUUCCUGUACCAGUGCUAAUUGUUUAACCGAUGGGGUGACACAGAAGGAUAGGGAAUCGCACGAAUGGAAAUGUGCGUCCAAGCAGUGAGUGUGAGAAGUAGGCAAAUCCGCUUCUCGCGAAGCAUGAGCUGUGAUGGGGAAGGAAAUUAAGUACGGAAGUUCCUGAUUUCACGCUGUCAAGAAAAGCCUCUAGGAAGAGUAGUACUGCCCGUACCGCAAACCGACACAGGUAGAUGAGGAGAGAAUCCUAAGGUGAGCGAGAGAACUCUCGUUAAGGAACUCGGCAAAAUGACCCCGUAACUUCGGGAGAAGGGGUGCUCUAUUAGGGUGCAAGCCCGAGAGAGCCGCAGUGAAUAGGCCCAGGCGACUGUUUAGCAAAAACACAGGUCUCUGCAAAACCGUAAGGUGACGUAUAGGGGCUGACGCCUGCCCGGUGCUGGAAGGUUAAGAGGAGUGCUUAGCUUCGGCGAAGGUACGAAUUGAAGCCCCAGUAAACGGCGGCCGUAACUAUAACGGUCCUAAGGUAGCGAAAUUCCUUGUCGGGUAAGUUCCGACCCGCACGAAAGGCGCAACGAUCUGGGCACUGUCUCAACGAGAGACUCGGUGAAAUUAUAGUACCUGUGAAGAUGCAGGUUACCCGCGACAGGACGGAAAGACCCCGUGGAGCUUUACUGCAACCUGAUAUGGAAUGUUUGUACCGCUUGUACAGGAUAGGUAGGAGCCGAAGAGACGUGUGCGCUAGCAUACGAGGAGGCAAUGGUGGGAUACUACCCUGGCUGUAUGACCAUUCUAACCCGCCACGCUUAGCGCGUGGGGAGACAGUGUCAGGUGGGCAGUUUGACUGGGGCGGUCGCC